rnacentral:misc_RNA from 1 species
UGGAAGUAAAAGUCGUAACAAGGUCUCCGUUGGUGAACCAGCGGAGGGAUCAUUAUAGAGUUAUCAAAAAACUCCCAAACCCAUGUGAACAUACCCUUCGUUGCCUCGGCGGGCGCCGUCCUACCACCACCGGUGGAGGGGCGAAACCCCGCCGGCGGCCCCCGAAACUCUGUUUUUCUAUAGCAUUGGACCUCUGAAGCAAAGAUAACUAAAUCAGUUAAAACUUUCAACAACGGAUCUCUUGGUUCUGGCAUCGAUGAAGAACGCAGCGAAAUGCGAUAAGUAAUGUGAAUUGCAGAAUUCAGUGAAUCAUCGAAUCUUUGAACGCACAUUGCGCCCACCAGUAUUCUGGUGGGCAUGCCUGUUCGAGCGUCAUUUCAACCCUUAAGCCCCAGCUGCUUAGCGUUGGGAGCCUACCGGAGACCUCCUCCCGUAGCUCCCCAAAGUCAGUGGCGGAGCCGGUUUAACACUCCAGACGUAGUAGCUCAUACCACAUCGCCUGUAGCCUAAACCCGGCCCCCUGCCGUAAAACACAACGAAUAUUGUAUAGGUUGACCUCGGAUCAGGUAGGAAUACCCGCUGAACUUAAGCAUAUCAAUAAGCGGAGGA